rnacentral:misc_RNA from 1 species
UUUCCGUAGGUGAACCUGCGGAAGGAUCAUUAUCGUACAAAAUGUGAGGGGCAUGCGAGGGCUGUCGCUGACCUGAAAUUCGUGCACGCCCGAGUGUGACCUCUUGCAUAAUAACCCAUAUCGCCCUUUGUGCAUCACCGCGUGGGCACCCUUCGGGAUCGUCUCGGAGUGGGGCUCGCGUUUUCACACAAACCCCCCUUUUAAAAGUGUAGAAUGACCACAUUUAUGCAAUCAAUACAACUUUCAACAACGGAUCUCUUGGCUCUC